UAAAGAAUUUCGGUAUGGGAUGGGGAUGCGUUCCAUUAGUUAGUUGGCGGGGUAACGGCCCACCAAGACAACGAUGGAUAGGGGUUCUGAGAGGAAGGUCCCCCACAUUGGAACUGAGACACGGUCCAAACUCCUACGGGAGGCAGCAGUGAGGAAUAUUGGUCAAUGGACGAGAGUCUGAACCAGCCAAGUAGCGUGAAGGAUGACUGCCCUAUGGGUUGUAAACUUCUUUUAUAUGGGAAUAAAAUGUUCCACGUGUGGGAUUUUGUAUGUACCAUAUGAAUAAGGAUCGGCUAACUCCGUGCCAGCAGCCGCGGUAAUACGGAGGAUCCGAGCGUUAUCCGGAUUUAUUGGGUUUAAAGGGAGCGUAGGUGGAUUGUUAAGUCAGUUGUGAAAGUUUGCGGCUCAACCGUAAAAUUGCAGUUGAAACUGGCAGUCUUGAGUACAGUAGAGGUGGGCGGAAUUCGUGGUGUAGCGGUGAAAUGCUUAGAUAUCACGAAGAACUCCGAUUGCGAAGGCAGCUCACUGGACUGCAACUGACACUGAGGCUCGAAAGUGUGGGUAUCAAACAGGAUUAGAUACCCUGGUAGUCCACACAGUAAACGAUGAAUACUCGCUGUUUGCG
rnacentral:rRNA from 1 species